AGCUCAAGAUGGCCUUCCUCCCGCGGCCGCGGGGCCUGCCCUGGAACCUGGACGCCCUUACCCUCCUGCUGGGGAGACGAACCAUCAGAACGAUUUGGACCUGGACAUACUUUUCCUUGUCAAUUACUCGACACCUUUUGCGGUGUUUGGUCUUCUGGGCAUGAUGUAUCGACUGCCCGCUCCUAGAAUGGGUUCUGACGGGGUUAUCUUUGCCAACAUCUUGGCUAAAGUUGGAUUCCUGACCACUGCCUGUUCCUGUUGUCUGCUGGUGAUUCCAUGCAUCGUGCUCAGAUUGAGGAGGUUUCACAUGGAGAAGGAUGAGGGCGCUUCUGCGGCUUAAUGCGCAGGUUGUCCGAGUUUCAGGGGUGUGAUCUGACUUUUCAUUGAAGAGUACAAUUAAGGGCCUUUAAUUUAUCUUUGCUACAGCGAGUAUCAUGGUUAAGAUAGGUAGUGAUUGGAGUAAGGAAUGCUGAGACUUUAUGUAAGGUGGUGUCGUUUCUCUACUUAUUACCUGGAUAUGCCUAGUGUGGGAUCAUGUGCCUAACUUACUAUUGCCGAAGACUAAUAUUGAGAUACCGAAAGUCCAGAACUUAUCAGAUAUAUGCCCAGGGUGCUAUCAAAUAUUGCUAGCGUAGAACGGCUGAAAACUGACCUAGAUGCUAAAAUUCCAAAAUUGCUCCAGUAUUUGUAUGUUUUCUGCAGUGAUUUGUAUUCGAUGGUACCUCUAGCGUUACCCUACUGCCUCACAGACUAUCGUCUCUACCGCACUGUAUGUUUUCUGCAGAGAUUUGUAUUCAGUUGUAUCUCUAGCUGACAUUUUUGUUAUGCCCAAUGCGGUUGGCAACCCUGGAA